UUACAACAGCCACUGUUUAUUAGAUCAUCCUUCUUACUUGGAUAACUGUGGAAAAGCUAGAGCUAAUACAUGCUACAAGCUCUGACCUUACGGGAGGAGCGCAUUUAUUAGAAUAAAACCAAUCGGACUUUGUCCGUCAUUUGGUGAAUCUGAAWAACUAUGCAGAUCGCACGGUCUUGGUACCGGCGACAUAUCUUUCAAAUGUCUGCCUUAUCAACUUUCGAUGGUAGUUUAUGCGCCUACCAUGGUUGUAACGGGUAACGAAGAAUCAGGGUUUGAUUUCGGAGAGGGAGCCUGAGAAACGGCUACCACAUCCAAGGAAGGCAGCAGGCACGCAAAUUACCCACUCCCGGCACGGGGAGGUAGUGACGAAACAUAACGAGGCGAUUCUCUACGAGACUCGCCAUCGGAAUGGGUACAAUUUAAAUCCUUUAACGAGGAUCUAUUGGAGGGCAAGUCUGGUGCCAGCAGCCGCGGUAAUUCCAGCUCCAAUAGCGUAUAUUAACGUUGUUGCGGUUAAAAAGCUCGUAGUUGGAUCUGCGACCUAGGAUAGCGGUCUGCCAAACGGUGUGUACUGCUUUUCCUGGUCUUUUUGUCUGGUUUUCCCUUGAUGCUCUUUAUUGAGUGUCCUGGGUGGCUGGAGAGUUUACUUUGAAAAAAUUAGAGUGCUCAAAGCAGGCGGUCUGCCUGAAUAAUGGUGCAUGGAAUAAUGGAAUAGGACCUCGGUUCUAUUUUGUUGGUUUUCGGAGCACGAGGUAAUGAUUAAAAGGGACAGACGGGGACAUUCGUAUUGUGGCGCUAGAGGUGAAAUUCUUGGACCGCCGCAAGACGAACUACUGCGAAAGCAUU
rnacentral:rRNA from 1 species